rnacentral:rRNA from 1 species
UACGUAGGUGGCAAGCGUUGUCCGGAUUUACUGGGUGUAAAGGGCGUGUAGCCGGGCUUACAAGUCAGAUGUGAAAUCCGGGGGCUCAACCCCCGAACUGCAUUUGAAACUGUAGGUCUUGAGUAUCGGAGAGGCAGGCGGAAUUCCUAGUGUAGCGGUGAAAUGCGUAGAUAUUAGGAGGAACACCAGUGGCGAAGGCGGCCUGCUGGACGACAACUGACGGUGAGGCGCGUAAGCGUGGGGAGCAAACAGG